GGCCGAAGGGCCUGUUGCUGUGCUGUACUGUUCUAUGUUUUAUGAUUUCAGAUUGCUGGUCAGGAUAAACCAUGAGGGCAGGUGGGUUGGCAGAUUGCAACCGGUGUAACCUUUUGAUUUCGUACUCUCGUUAGUCACAUAAAUUGAAUUGUGAAGCUGGCAGUUGUUCAGAGAGUGGAUGCCUUGGGCAUUGUUCGUACAGAUUCAGAGUGGAUCCUUUCUAAGCCUGGAACGCAUUUCCGUUCCCUUCUCCAGCUGUGCAUCAGCAGCUGAACUGGAAGAGAUGGCUGCCACAUCAACAUGUAGUCAGGGCCUCCAGAGCAUUUUCAUACCUCCAGUUUUCCUCUCCACUGACUCACAGUCUGCAGAAGGAUUCCGACCCAAAAUGCCAUCCUGGAUCAGGAUCAGGAUGUAGUACGCUGAAAAGCUCAAGAUCGUAUCUCCGGUUGCUCUGCGGCCUAACAUCGUGGAGCUGGAGGCCUCGUUCUGGACUGACUUUGGGCCCCACCGCGGGGCGCGGACUUACCAUCGGAGCCGAUUCCUUGCCUGGGAUCGACGUUCCAACCACGGCCUGCGGACUUUAACAUUGAGGAGCUCGCAGUCUCGGGUUGAGACGGUAGAUGUCAGGAGCUCCAAAAGCCGCAUGACGUUCGACCAGCCCUGACCCGGGAUAGAUCGCCCGGCGUGAGGGAGCUUAGAUUCCCCCCCAUUGCAGGAGCCUGAUCGACCCGACGAGGAGGCCCGCCGCUGGCUACAGGAGUAAGAUGGUCCUGUCAACGGAAGGUUCGAGGCCCCCGACCACUGGAGGACAAAGAAGGGAGAGAUUUAACUUUUUUUCGCCUUCACAGUGGAGUAAGUGUUCAGAUUUGGUCUCCCAGCUGCAGGAUGGAUUUUGUUAAGCUGGAAAAGGUGCAGAGACGAUUUGAGGAUGUUGCCAGGACUUGAGGGCCUGAGAUACAGGGAGAGGUUGGGCAGGCUAGGACUUUAAUCCUUGGAGCGCAGGAGGUUGAGGCGCGAUCUUAUAGAGGUGCAUCAAAUCAUGAAGGGAAUAGAUCAGAUGAAUGCACCAGAAUCUUUUACCCAGAGUAAGGGGAAACAAGAACUAGUGGAUAGGUUUAAGGUGAGAGUGGAAUGAUUUAAUAGGAACUUAAGGGGCAGCUUUUUAACACAGAAGGCAGUGGUUAUGUGGAACGAGCUGCCAGGAGAGGUGGUUGAGGCAGGUACAACAUGCAGGAGCUUGUGGGCCCGACUGCCGGGAGCCAAGAUCGUCCCGUCAACGGAGGGCUCAAGGCCCACGACCGCAAGGAAGGAGAACAAGGAAGGAGAUUGAACUUUUUUUUCGCCUUCCAUCACAGUGAGGAAUGUGGAGGAGUCACUGUGGUGGAUGUUCAUGUUAAAAUGUAUUUUGUGUGUUCUGUUGCUUUUUAUUGGUAAGACUGUAUGGCAAAUCAAAUUCCUUGUAUGUGGCAAAACAUACUUGGCUAAUAAAGUAUGAUUACGAUUAUGAUUCUGGUUAUGAUGGUGGUCGGCGUUGGGCAAGUUGGGCCACGGGGCCUGUUUUCAUGCUGAGUGACUAUUUUAUGAUUACUCACUGUACUCUGAAUGAGGAACAUCAACAUUUGCAAACAACAAUAGCCAAUUUACUUUAAGGAAAAUAAUAAACCAUUAGGAAGUUAUGUAUUAGUAUCUGGCUUUGCAUACAAUUUUACUGGUGUCAAAGACCGUGGGAAAUGUUUUAAUAGGUUUUCUUUUCUUUUCUAAUAAGACAAGUAGAUUUUCUGAAUUUAAGCCUUUUCUUAUAGUGCUGGGAAUGCAGUUCAAGUAGACCAAGACGUCAGAGACAAGGAACCGCAGAUGCUGGACUCUGGAGCCAAUCACAAAGUGCUGGAGGAACUCAGUGGGUCAGGCAGCAUCUGCGGAGGGAAUGGACAGACGGCGUUUGGGGUCGGGACCCUUCGUCAGACUCUGACUGCUCUGUGGAGUGGUAUCGUGCUGGCACAAACCUCUCAAGAUUCUGCCAAUUGCUGCUCAGAUCCAAUUUAAUUUCCUGUCAACUUCAGACGACGCCUCAUCUGAUGUUUCCAAGAUGGCGUCCGACCCAGGCGAGUAUUUGCACGCUGGCCAGAUCUACAAUCCCGUCUUACAGGAACAGUUUCCAACACAUAUCCAACACAGGCAGCACCCGUAGUCAGAAUGGAACCCAGGUCUCUGGCGCUGUGAGGCAGCAACUCUACCGCUGCGCCACUGAAAUAUAUCCAACACAGUCAGACAAAUGCUUCGUACUGUUCAAUCGUUAAUUAUUUUAUCUUUUAUAUUUCAUAUUUUACGCUAAGAAUUUUCAGUUAAGUAACCUGAGCAAAUUUCUUUUGGAACAAAGGCCUGAACAAACCAGGGCAGCACGAACGCCAGAGACCCAGGUUCGAUCCUGACCUCUUGUGCUGUCUGUGUGGAGUUUGCACGUUCCCCCUGUGGCCACGCGGGUUUCCUGCGGGUGCUCUGGUUUCCUCCCUCAUCUCAAAGACGUGCGGGUCUGUAGGUUAAUCGCCCCUCUGUAAAUUGCCCCCUAGUGUGUAGGGAGUGGAUGAGAAAGUGGGAUAAGGUAGAACUAGUGUGUAAGAAAGAACUGCAGAUGCUGCUAAAAUGGAAGGUAGACACAAAAAGCCGGAGUAACUCAGUGGGUGAGGCAGCAUCUCCGGAGUGAAGGAAUGGGCGACGUUUCGGGUCGAGACCCUCCUUCAGAACGAAUGCGUACGGGUGAUCGAUGGUCGGCGUGGACUCGGUGGGCCGAAGGGCCCGUUACCACUCUGCAUCUUUCCAUCAUUCAAAAGCAAUGUUUCACAAUAUGAGCCGACAGCUAUUGCUUCUCUUGUCUUGCCUUUCAUAAAUCUUUGGCACCUUGAGGGAAUCACACCAACAGCAGAUUAAAAUAGCCUGACCUACUUGUGCGCUCGGCUAUUGGAAGCUGCUUGUAAAAGGCAGGAGAGUCAAAGAAACAAAUUGUGAGAAGCAAGUCACUAGUUGUGAGAUGAAUCUACAUUACAUUGCGGUGAAUGUGACAGCAUUGUUCUUUCAACUCAGCCCCUGCGCCUGCGUGCGGUAAAUCAAUGACUUAUGGCACAUUGGCGCAGCGGUAGAGUGUCAGAGACCCUGAUUACGGAUGCUCUCCACUCCCUAAUAGUGUUGCCAACUGUCCCGUAUUAGCCGGGACAUCCCGUAUAUUGGGCUAAAUUGGUUUGUCCUGUACAGGACCGCGCUUGUCCCGUAUUUGACUGCUGCUAUUAUGGUCGUGGGGACUGU